rnacentral:tRNA from 1 species
CAAAAGGUCGGGAUAGCUCA